ACCGGUGUCCGGAAAGGUGAACGCUGCGCUCGGGCUGCCUCGCCUGUUACCUCCGCCGCCGGGCAUGCUCAGCGUCUGCAGCUGCCGGACCAGCUCCGGCAUGCGGUCCCAGUGGCCCUCGGCGCGGCAGCGCUCCAGCUCGCUCUCCACCUUCAGAUAUUGAUGACCAUGAGAUCCCUGCUCAGAACCCCCUUCCUGUGUGGCCUGCUCUGGGCCUUUUGUGCCCCAGGCGCCAGGGCUGAGGAGCCUGCAGCCAGCUUCUCCCAACCCGGCAGCAUGGGCCUGGAUAAGAACACAGUGCACGACCAAGAGUACGUAUUCAGCCCGGGCUGUGGUCCAGUGGCCUCCCCAUCAUCUGCAGCUGAGCCAGCGGCAAGGGCAUGCUCAGUCCUCCUUUCCUUCUUCCUGUUUCUAUGGCUCCUUGACAUUCUUCAAGGGUGAUUCUUAUUCCUUAUUGCCACCUAUAAGUCAGGUAUUCUUUUUUCAUCAUUGUAUCACAAGUGGAAGAUCUUUAGGCCCAAAUGGGACACAUUACUUGCCUGAAUCCAGUCUCUCCUUUUUUUCACCACAGACAGACAUACACACAUACAAAUAGACACACAGGUACACAUACACAGUCAUAGUAGC
rnacentral:sRNA from 1 species